AGACCUUGACAGUUGUAACCGAUAGACUGGGCUGGGGCAACGCUGAUGAAAGGCAAAUUCCUGAGAGAAAAAUCACCCAGAUUUUUCAGUGCCUUCUCUAGCUUUCUAGAAGUUGUUAUGAGUGGACCUGACUACCUAGAGAGAGUAAUACAGAAGCUCCGUGCCGAUCACAGCUACCUCAUUACCAUGUUCCUCCAAGAUGGCCGCCCCUGAGGAGAAUCAUCAACUGGGCUUUACGGAAGAGAGAAAUCCAAACGACCAUCAGCAACAAAUGAAAGACUGAAGUUGAAAGUUUCAAGAUUGUCAAGAAUGACGAGUUGGACUUGGUCUAGUUACUUCCACAGCAGCAGGAGGAACAUGUGUGUGACUCAGGAUAACUGGGGAAGCCUUGGCUAGGCUUUCCUCAUGUCAACCUACCACUCAAAGGGAGAAAACCUCCUGAUCAGAGGAAAUCCAUAAUUUUUGAAUGCUGGCCGAGGUCUGUGACCUCUGACUGAAUGGUUUCCAAGCUCCGAAUUCCUAGGUGAUGUUUUCAUUUGUUCACACUUGCUGAAGAAGGGAAAGGCUCUCUGAUUUACGUGUAAGCAAAACAAUCUAAACAGUAGGAUAAAAUCAUGUUGGAAUGGAGUUCUGUGUGGAUGCUCCUUUGAACCAAAUCAGUUCCACAACUGACCCUGUCAGGGACAUAUAAAUUUAGCAUUUUGGUGUGGAUACAGAAGACGAGAUUAACACAGAUCAAGUAACAUGGAAAUAAAAAAGGAGACAAUGCUGGAUGAUACAGGGGCAGCCAACAAGAGGAGAAAACCCAAGCAUUGGCAAAUGCCUCAUUAUCCAAAGAACACUGAGGUGUGGAGCAAAACUGUGUUGAAUGAACUGUAGAUGGAAAUUCUCUCCUUCCCACCGAGGAGCCGCUGCAGGUUGCAGACUCCCAGAAUGCCACACUGAGAAGAGGAGGGCUAAAAUUCUAGAGCAGAAUCCCUGGGGCAGCCCCUGCUGAAGAAGGGUGCAUCUGUUGAGAAUCUCAUCACCGCCCCCACCCCGCCCAGCCUUCAAUUUAGAGGAAUUUCUAGUUCACGCAGAAUGAAGACAAGAUCACAUAAGUGAGGACGACGCCCCAUUUACAAGUGUGAUUUGGAAGACUGAAGUGGAAACCUUGGGAAGGGGCCUCAGAGUAUGUCAGCUGGGGUCAGACGGGAACAGGAGUCUGGCUCAACACACAUUUAUUGCACUCCUGUUUCAUGCCAAGAAAUGUACCAAAAUCUGGGACUGUGUAACACAGCAAAGGAAAAGACUCAUCUCCAGGAAGCCCCCUUGUCUAGGAAGAGAAAUUGAAUAUCAGCAUAAGGUGGUGAAAAGCUGUGAAGGAGAUGAGUGCCAGGAGUCCAUGGAGGAAGGAUUCUAGCCUGGACAGGUGAGGAAUGGCUUUCUGGAAGAAGCAGAUGCCCCAGCUGAACUUUAAAAUGCCCAUGUGAAAUGAACUGUCUGUAUCUUCAAUCAGCAAAUGGAGUAGGUGGCCACUGUUUAAUUCUGGAAUGGGGAAGUGUAAAGGUGUGGUGUGUGUGUUUACCCCUACUUAGGGAUUCAAAACAGACAGUAAAGAACAAAAGUCUAGCCCUUUGAGCAUUCUCCAUGGGACAUUUGAGGUCUAGCUGGCCCCAGAGAAAGAGAGACAGAAGCAAGGUCAUAUCCAUUUGAGAAAAUCAAAGUGUCUGCUCCAA
ensembl:lncRNA LINC01206 long intergenic non-protein coding RNA 1206